UCAGAAGGCCCCAGUGUCCAUGUCCAGGAUCCAGAUUUCCUAACUGGCUUUUCAGAUGAUAGCCAGAGCAAGCCAUGGUUUCAGCCAGACUGUGCUAAUCUGACAGUCAGAGCACAGAACAGCUAACCUUCAGAACAUCUCCAAGCAAAGGUGUGAUGGAAUUGAUCUGGCCUAAAGCUCAGGUCAUGUGACUCUUCUGGAAAUUGUCAAAUGUUACUCUCUGGGCCAAACCAUGCCUUUGCAGGUGCUGUUUUCCAGAGCGACUGUCUCUCCCAAAGUGACCAUAUCUGCUAUGGUUGGAGAGGAGGUGUCAUGGAAGCUUGAUAGCCCCACAUCAAGAUUUCUUCUGUACAAAUUCUACUCAGUGACACAAAGCCACUGACUCUCAGGAGUGGAAGAAUCCCCAGAAUAUCAGUAACUCUACCUGUUUAGUGCUGUUUUGUGGACCAAGGGAAGAGUCUUGAUUUUUGCAUUUCUUUCCCCCUGACCACUACUAUGCUACCAAACGACACUGAAAGGAGAACAGAAUGGAAAUCACAAAGAUGAAAAAACUUGAUCCUUUGCUGACAAGCUUGUCACUUCGCAGAAAAGUUCACUCUAUCCCGCGUAGGUAUCAAGAAACAUUUCUUUCAAGCUCUGGAGCAGA